rnacentral:tRNA from 1 species
GGGGGUAUAGCUCAGUGGUGCAGCAUUCGACUGCAGAUCGAGAGGUCCCCGAUUCAUUCCCGGAUGCUCCCU